rnacentral:rRNA from 1 species
GAUCCUGGCUCAGAUUGAACGCUGGCGGCAGGCCUAACACAUGCAAGUCGAGCGGUAGAGAGAAGCUUGCUUCUCUUGAGAGCGGCGGACGGGUGAGUAAUACCUAGGAAUCUGCCUGAUAGUGGGGAUAACGUUCAGAAACGGACGCUAAUACCGCAUACGUCCUACGGGAGAAAGCAGGGGACCUUCGGGCCUUGCGCUAUCAGAUGAGCCUAGGUCGGAUUAGCUAGUUGGUGAGGUAAUGGCUCACCAAGGCUACGAUCCGUAACUGGUCUGAGAGGAUGAUCAGUCACACUGGAACUGAGACACGGUCCAGACUCCUACGGGAGGCAGCAGUGGGGAAUAUUGGACAAUGGGCGAAAGCCUGAUCCAGCCAUGCCGCGUGUGUGAAGAAGGUCUUCGGAUUGUAAAGCACUUUAAGUUGGGAGGAAGGGCAUUAACCUAAUACGUUGGUGUCUUGACGUUACCGACAGAAUAAGCACCGGCUAACUCUGUG